rnacentral:rRNA from 1 species
AUGGUAUGUGUCCGCAGCCGCGGUAAUACGUAGGGAGCGAGCGUUGUCCGGAAUUACUGGGUGUAAAGGGAGCGUAGGCGGGAUGGCAAGUCAGAUGUGAAAACUAUGGGCUCAACCCAUAGACUGCAUUUGAAACUGUUGUUCUUGAGUGAGGUAGAGGUAAGCGGAAUUCCUGGUGUAGCGGUGAAAUGCGUAGAGAUCAGGAGGAACAUCGGUGGCGAAGGCGGCUUACUGGGCCUUUACUGACGCUGAGGCUCGAAAGCGUGGGGAGCAAACAGG